rnacentral:rRNA from 1 species
AGAGUUUGAUCAUGGCUCAGAGCGAACGCUGGCGGCAGGCUUAACACAUGCAAGUCGAGCGGGCGUAGCAAUACGUCAGCGGCAGACGGGUGAGUAACGCGUGGGAACGUACCUUUUGGUUCGGAAUAACCCUGGGAAACUGGGGCUAAUACCGGAUGGUUCCUUCGGGAUAAAGAUUUAUCGCCAAAAGAUGAGUCCGCGUACGAUUAGCUAGUUGGUGAGGUAAUGGCUCACCAAGGCGACGAUCGUUAGCUGGUCUGAGAGGACGAUCAGCCACACUGGGACUGAGACACGGCCCAGACUCCUACGGGAGGCAGCAGUGGGGAAUAUUGGACAAUGGGGGCAACCCUGAUCCAGCCAUGCCGCGUGAGCGAUGAAGGCCUUCGGGUUGUAAAGCUCUUUUGGCGGGGACGAUGAUGACGGUACCCGCAGAAUAAGCCCCGGCUAACUUCGUGCCAGCAGCCGCGGUAAGACGAAGGGGGCUAGCGUUGUUCGGAAUUACUGGGCGUAAAGCGAGUGUAGGUGGUUGUCAUAGUCAGGUGUGAAAGCCUUGAGCUCAACUCAAGAAAUGCACUUGAUACUGGGCGACUAGAGGACCGGAGAGGAUAGUGGAAUCCCCAGUGUAGUGGUGAAAUACGUAGAGAUUGGGAAGAACACCAGUGGCGAAGGCGGCUAUCUGGACGGUUACUGACACUAAGACUCGAAAGCGUGGGGAGCAAACAGGAUUAGAUACCCCGGUAGUCC